GCCGGCGUGGCGAAAUGGCAGACGCGGCGGACUCAAAAUCCGCUCUCCGCAAGGUGGUGUCGGUUCGACUCCGACCGCCGGCACCA
rnacentral:tRNA from 1 species